GAUCCUGGCUCAGGAUGAACGCUGGCGGCGUGCUUAACACAUGCAAGUCGAACGGAGUUUUAACGGAAGUUUCGGAUGGAAGUUAAGAACUUAGUGGCGGACGGGUGAGUAACGCGUGGGUAACCUGCCUCAUACAGGGGGAUAACAGUUAGAAAUGACUGCUAACACCGCAUAAUAUAGUGAAACCGCAUGAUUUUGCUAUCAAAUAUUUAUAGGUAUGAGAUGGGCCCGCGUCUGAUUAGCUAGUUGGUGGGGUAAAGCCUACCAAGGCGACGAUCAGUAGCCGGCUUGAGAGAGUGACCGGCCACAUUGGGACUGAGACACGGCCCAAACUCCUACGGGAGGCAGCAGUGGGGAAUAUUGGACAAUGGGGGAAACCCUGAUCCAGCGAACCGCCGCGUGAGUGAAGAAGUAUUUCGGUAUGUAAAGCUCUAUCAGCAGGGAAGAUAAUGACAGUACCUGACUAAGAAGCCCCGGCUAACUACGUGCCAGCAGCCGC
rnacentral:rRNA from 1 species